GAUGAAGAACGCAGCGAAAUGCGAUAAGUAGUGUGAAUUGCAGAAUUCCGUGAAUCAUCGAAUCUUUGAACGCACAUUGCGCCCCUUGGUAUUCCAUGGGGCAUGCCUGUUCGAGCGUCAUUUGUACCUUCAAGCUCUGCUUGGUGUUGGGUGUUUGUCUCGCCUCUGCGCGCAGACUCGCCUCAAAACGAUUGGCAGCCGGCGUAUUGAUUUCGGAGCGCAGUACAUCUCGCGCUUUGACAACAAAACGACGACGUCCAAAAAGUACAUUUUUUACACUCUUGACCUCGGAUCAGGUAGGGAUACCCGCUGAACUUAAGCAUAUCAAUAAGCGGAGGA
rnacentral:misc_RNA from 1 species